AUCUGUCGUGUUCAGGCUGACUCAUUCCAGGAUUAUGUGGGCUUCUUAUUCAUUGUGCUACUAUAGGAAAGUACUUUCUGCAUAGGUUUGGAGUAUGAAACUGAAAAUAUUCUGAUUGUAAACUGUCUAAGACAAUAGAAAGUAUGCUGUAAAGGUGCUGUCUGUGCUACAUUAAUUCCACAACUGCAGAGGCCGCAGUGUGUGUUUCUGCUGCCAUGAACGUGCUUUGGUAACUGCCAGAAUUGAGGUUCUCACCAUGGACAAGUCUGCUGCCUGCCUUCUUUUCACAUGUGUGUUUUAGCUGGUUGGCAGUCAGCCUUUUGCUGCAUUGCUGCAGGAUGAAGAGCUUUUCCUUGUGCAAUGGCUGUGGCUGCUUUCCCCUGAGGGCAGAAAUGCUCUCCCCGCAGAGCAGGUUUCUCUCCUGCAGCUCCCAGCCAUCAUCUUCAGGCUCUGCAGGAAUUCUGGAGCAGCCAUCUGCACUGCUGAUUUUUGCCAGAAGAUCUGGGUUCACUUUUCACGUCCUGCAACAAUUUGUGCCCUUGACAACCUGCACUGUGGCCUCCAGGGUUCCCUCAUUGCCGGCUGAGAAAUCUGAAAAUGUACAUUGCAUUAUUUUGCCCCGUUUCUUUGGGGAAAGUUGAGGCUCCCAAGCAGAAUCAGACAGAACUCUGAAGCGUCUCUGCUGUUCAGGCAGUGGUGAAGUGUGGUGCAGUUUGGGUCACCAGGUCCUCCAUCCAUGGGCAAGCUGUGACCCCAGAAACCUGCUGCUUUGUUUGGUGGCUGUGAGGAGAAUGCUGCGUCUUCUGGGAAGAGUUGCUUUGGGAAUGACCAGGCCAGGGGGGCUGGAUGUGUGUGUUGCACCAGACCAGAAUAAGGAAAUGUUUUUUUACAACAAGCAGGUGACAUGCAAGCAGCACAGCGAACAGCAACGCCUAAAUCAAAGCAACCCGAAGAGAAAAUCUGGGAAGGCUCAGCAACAAAGAUUUACAGCUGCAUGUUUUCCUGUGUGAUGGAUGAUUAUUUCAAACUGCUGCUCUCUUCAGUCGUCAGAAUGCCAAAAAGACAGUUCUUGUUGCAAGCUACAACUCAGAGCUCAAGCCAGAUUCUGCAUGCAGUUCAUGUCAGCGUUUGUAGGGGACGGAGGCUGCUCCAUGCGAAGUAACAGAAGGACAGAAUCGGGUCCUGCAGGGUUCAGCGGAGCAGUAAUAAAUAAUAAUAAUGUACAUCUACUGAACAAUUAUUUUAGCUGAAGUAAACAAUCUGAGGCACUAUCAGAAUCUUUCUGGCAAUUUAAAAUCUUCUGUAUUAAGUUUGCUUUCUGCAAAAGCUGUCUGUGCCUCCGGCAUGGGGC
ensembl:lncRNA